rnacentral:rRNA from 1 species
AUUGAACGCUGGCGGCAGGCCUAACACAUGCAAGUCGAACGAGUGGCGGACGGGUGAGUAAUGUCUGGGAAACUGCCCGAUGGAGGGGGAUAACUACUGGAAACGGUAGCUAAUACCGCAUACCAUCGGAUGUUCCCAGAUGGGAUUAGCUAGUAGGUGGGGUAACGGCUCACCUAGGCGACGAUCCCUAGCUGGUCGGAGAGGACGACCACCCACACUGGAACUGAGACACGGGCCAGAGUCCUACGUAAGGCAGCAGUGGGGAAUAUUGCACAAGGGGCGCAAGCCUGAUGCAGCCCUGCCGCGGGUAUGAAGAAGGCCUUCUGGUUGUAAAGUACUUUCAGCGAGGAGGCGUUACUCGCAGAAGAAGCACCGGCUAACUCGGGGCCAGCAGCCGCGGUAAUAC